rnacentral:rRNA from 1 species
AUUGCAAAGAGUGGCGAACGGGGUGAGUAACACGUGGGAAGCCUACCUUUUAGCAGGGGAUAACAUUUGGAAACAGAUGCUAAUACCGUAUAACAAUGACAACCGCAUGGUUGUUAUUUAAAAGAUGGUUCUGCUAUCACUAAGAGAUGGUCCCGCCGGUGCAUUAGCUAGUUGGUAAGGUAAUGGCUUACCAAGGCGGAUGAUGCAUAGCAGAGUUGAGAGACUGAUCGGCCACAAUGGGACUGAGACACGGCCCAUACUCC